UUUAAUAAAUAUAAAAUACUUAAAAAAUGAUAUGAAAAUAGAUAGCUAUUAAGUACACUAUUUCAACGAAGAUGCAUGAAUCUAACAAAAAUAGACAAGAAAUCUUUUUAAUUUAAUAUAAUUCUUCAAUGGGAGCACAGAAAAAUAAUUACCCUAAAAGAAGGGCAAUGAAACUGAUUAAAUAACUGAGAUAAUGCUUGACAAUACUGUUUACCCCGUCAAGCAAGAGCAGAAUACGAAAAGGUCAUCCCAUGGCACUUCAUGGCCAAGGUAAAAAAAAGAAUUUGUCCAAAAAGGGGCCUCCCUAUAAAAGAAAGUAGGGGCAUUA
rnacentral:lncRNA from 1 species